rnacentral:rRNA from 1 species
GACGAACGCUGGCGGCGUGCUUAACACAUGCAAGUCGAACGGUGAAGGGACUGGUUUUGCUGGUCCUGGAUGAGUGGCGAACGGGUGAGUAACACGUGAGUAACCUGCCCCCUUCUUCUGGAUAACCGCAUGAAAGUGUGGCUAAUACGGGAUAUUCUGGGUCUGUCGCAUGGUGGGCCUGGGAAAGAUUGCGCCUUUUUUGGUGUUUUUGUUGGGGGAUGGGCUCGCGGCCUAUCAGCUUGUUGGUGGGGUGAUGGCCUACCAAGGCGGUGACGGGUAGCCGGCCUGAGAGGGUGGACGGUCACACUGGGACUGAGACACGGCCCAGACUCCUGCGGGAGGCAGCAGUGGGGAAUAUUGCAAAAUGGGAGAAAGCCUGAUGCAGCGACGCCGCGUGAGGGAUGGAGGCCUUCGGGUUGUGAACCUCUUUCGCCAGUGAAGCAGGCCUGCCUCUUUUUGUGGGUGGGUUGACGGUAGCUGGAUAAGAAGCGCCGGCUAACUACGUG